ensembl:lncRNA
CUUGUCUACGAUUGGAGCUAACAGUAGUAUCACCGCAUCAGGUGAUGUAGGGGAUUAACUAAGCUAAUACAGAUAAAGAACUAAGAGCCACACCUGGCUCAGGGUAGACCCCAAACAAACGUCAACCAUCUCGAUCCACAGUAGACAGAUGCUGUGAGAGAUGACAUUUUCCAAGUUAAAAGAAGUUAUGAGUCCCCUGGGAGAAAACUGCUGUUAUGGAAGAAAAGGGAGACCCGUCUGAGCAUAGCCUUAAAAUUCCUGCUUCAAGAAACCCAAUCUCUUCUUUGUCGCCAGCCAAAAAGUGACAGACACGGAUCUGCUAGUCUCCAGGUGUCAGAGGUAAGGCAGAUGUGGGAGACCUGGGGAGGAGCAGAAACUAAGACUGCCCUGGUGGGGAAUGGGGAGAGCUGCAGGUGAAUCUGAAGAGCGCCACAUUGGACUGGACACAGAGAAUGAAUGGUUACCUUGGAAGAAAUCAUCUCUAGAUAGUCACGGGCUACGUGACCUUGCCGUAAGCAUAAAUCUCCAGAAUCCUACACAGUCUUCUUUUCUGUUCAAAGCUGUGUGACCUCUGGGAUGUUAAGCACCCUCUCUGGGCCAUGUAUGAUAUGAAUUACAUCUACUACAGAAACCUGGGCCUGAGCCCAUUUUACAGGAGCAUCUCCACCACAUUGGAUUCUCUGCCUUCUGGAACGCAUAGUAGGUGGCUAAAUGGAGUCGGUCCCAGGAGAGCUCAGCUGCGACUCCAGGUUGUCAGUGGGGCAUCGACAUUAAUACAGGAUGUCGAGGCCGCUACUGAUUGAGAACAGCAGCUUUGAAGUCAGACGACAGGUUCCAGGCCUGACUCUGAUCUCUGACCAUCUACAAGGCCCUAGACAACAGAGUCCCUAGUCUAUGCCUUAGUCUGCUCGCCUGCAGCCAGGCUGCAGCCUGGGCUGCGAUGGCGCUCAGCCGGUGCCCCACCAGGUGGCGCUCUUCCCCGCCUCUGCUCUGUGCCUCCGGGGGACCCCAAACCCCCUUGGGAAGCACCCAGAGGUCGGUUGGCACAUCCGCCUCCCAGGAGGGCACACCUCAGGUCAGACUUGUGCAAAUGCAGCUCUCAGAAGCUGCUGGGCCCCAAGAGUCCUGCCCACGGAGUGAGUGUGCGAUUGUCGCAUAUAAUUCUUCCUGACCUGGCAGGAAUCUCACUUUCACCUCCUCUUCUUCCUGUUGAAAUCCCCUCAAGCUGAGCUGAUGAGUGCAGAUUACUCGCUCCCCAUUUCCCGAGCACGUCCAGGCAGUUCCCUACCUUUGUGCCUCUGCCGAUCUCUGCCAGGUCCUGACUAUGCAGGACUCAAUUCCUGUUCUGGCUCGAAUGCCUUCAAGACAUGCCGCGCCUCUCCCCGCCAAACGCAGGAACUGGUCUCCUUCAGGAGCGUCCACAUUCCUGUGCCUGUCUCUUUGGACACUUCCUCACUUCCCGCCUGUGUUAUAACUGCGCGUUCUAUUUCCCAUGUUGUUUGGGAAGUUCCAUGGGGAAAUGUCCAGUGUUGGACUCAUCGGAUGUCCGCACAAGUACCUGCCCACGGAGGCGGCUCAACAAAGAUUUUAUGAAUGAGACGUGGUGUGUUGAUGGGCGGGUGAUGUCCAAGCGAGGGUUGAAAUGAUGAUACCAGUUUACCGAUUUGCUUGUAACCAGCUCUUCUGGAGGUGUUUAGCCAUCUGAGUAAGGAUUGGGCCUCUAAAUCAAAUCCCUUAUGAUUAUACAGUGGAAGUGAGAAAUAGAUUUAAGGGCCUAGAUCUGAUAGAUAGAGUGCCUGAUGAACUAUGGAAUGAGGUUCGUGACACUGUACAGGAGACAGGGAUCAAGACUAUCCCCAUGGAAAAGAAAUGCAAAAAAGCAAAAUGGCUGUCUGGGGAGGCCUUACAAAUAGCUGUGAAAAGAAGAGAAGCGAAAAGCAAAGGAGACAAGGAAAGAUAUAAGCAUCUCAAUGCAGAGUUCCAAAGAAUAGCAAGAAGAGAUAAGAAAGCCUUCCUCAGUGAUCAAUGCAAAGAAAUAGAGGAAAAGAACAGAAUGGGAAAGACUAGAGAUCUCUUCAAGAAAAUUAGAGAUGUCAAGGGAACAUUUCAUGCAAAGAUGGGCUCGAUAAAGGACAGAAAUGGUAUGGACCUAACAGAAGCAGAAGAUAUUAAGAAGAGGUGGCAAGAAUACACAGAAGAACUGUACAAAAAAGAUCUUAAAGAUCUUCACGACCCAGAUAAUCACAAUGGUGUGAUCACUCAUCUAGAGCCAGACAUCCUGGAAUGUGAAGUCAAGUGGGCCUUAGAAAGCAUCACUACGAACAAAGCUAGUGGAGGUGAUGGCAUUCCAGUUGAGCUAUUUCAAAUCCUAAAAGAUGAUGCUGUGAAAGUGCUGCACUCAAUAUGCCAGCAAAUUCGGAAAACUCAGCUGGCCACAGGACUGGAAAAGGUCAGUUUUCAUUCCAAUCUCAAAGAAAGGCAAUGCCAAAGAAUGCUCAAACUACCGCACAAUUGCACGCAUCUCACAUGCUAGUAAGGUAAUGUGCAAGAUUUUCCAAGCCAGGCUUCAGCAAUACGUGAACUGUGAACUUCCUGAUGCUCAAGCUGGUUUUAGAAAAGGCAGAGGAAAC